rnacentral:rRNA from 1 species
AGAGUUUGAUCCUGGCUCAGGAUGAACGCUGGCGGCGUGCCUAACACAUGCAAGCCGAGCGGAGAUAUUGAGGGAUUCUUUUAGAUGAUCUCCUUAUCUUAGCGGCGGAUGGGUGAGUAACACGUGGGUAACCUGCCCUGCACAGGGGGAUAACAGCUGGAAACGGCUGUUAAUACCGCAUAUGCACACGCUGCCGCAUGGCAGAGGGUGGAAAGAUUUAUCGGUGCAGGAUGGGCCCGCGUCGGAUUAACUAGUUGGCAGGGUAACGGCCUACCAAGGUUAUGAUCCGUAGCCGACCUGAGAGGGUGACCGGCCACAUUGGGACUGAGACACGGCCCAAACUCCUACGGGAGGCAGCAGUGGGGGAUAUUGCACAAUGGGCGGAAGCCUGAUGCAGCGACGCCGCGUGAAGGAAGAAGUAUUUCGGUAUGUAAACUUCUAUCAGCGGGGAAGAAGAUGACGGUACCCGACUAAGAAGCCCCGGCUAACUACGUGCCAGCAGCCGCGGUAAUACGUAGGGGGCAAGCGUUAUCCGGAUUUACUGGGUGUAAAGGGAGCGUAGACGGCAGGGCAAGUCCGAUGUGAAAACCCGGGGCUCAACCGCGGGAUUGCAUUGGAAACUGCUCGGCUCGAGUACUGGAGGGGUAAGCGGAAUUCCUAGUGUAGCGGUGAAAUGCGUAGAUAUCAGGAAGAAUACCAGUGGCGAAGGCGGUCUGCUGGCUGCGAACUGACGCUCAAGCGCGAAAGCCAGGGGAGCAAACGGGAUUAGAUACCCCGGUAGUCCUGGCAGUAAACGAUGUAUGCUGGGUGUGAGAUCAGCGAUGAUUUCGUGCCGAAGUUAACGCGAUAAGCAUACCGCCUGGGGAGUACGGUCGCAAGAUUGAAACUCAAAGGAAUUGACGGGGGCCCGCACAAGCGGUGGAGCACGUGGUUUAAUUCGAUGCAAACCGAAGAACCUUACCUAGGCUUGACAUGUAGGUGGUAGGGAAGGGAAACCGGACCGACGCUGUAGCAAUACAGCGAGCCUACACAGGUGCUGCAUGGCUGUCGUCAGCUCGUGUCGUGAGAUGUUGGGUUAAGUCCCGCAACGAGCGCAACCCCUAUUGCCAGUUGCUAACACGUAAUGGUGAGCACUCUGGCGAGACUGCCAUCGACAAGAUGGAGGAAGGUGGGGACGACGUCAAGUCAUCAUGGCCCCUAUGCCUAGGGCGACACACAUGCUACAAUGGUUGGUACAAAGGGCAGCGAGUUCGAGAGGACAAGCGAAUCCCCAAAAGCCAAUCCCAGUUCGGAUCGCAGUCUGCAACUCGACUGCAUGAAGUUGGAAUCGCUAGUAAUCGCGGAUCAGCCAAGCCGCGGUGAAUACGUUCCCGGGCCUUGUACACACCGCCCGUCACACCAUCCGAGUCGGGUGCUCUCAAAGCCGGUGGUCUAACCGCAAGGAAGAAGCCGUCUAAAGAGUGUCCGGUGAGAAGGGUGAAGUCGUAACAAGGUAACC